rnacentral:sRNA from 1 species
CGGCGCGUUCCCCUCUGGAGGUUUUUGACCUCUUGCUUGGCCGGGUGCCGCAAGCCCGGCCUUUUUCUUGCGCGCC